UUGUAUACUAAUGAAGCAUUCUGGCGUAAGUGCUCCACGGGCCCUGGGAGAGAUUUGGAAAUGCCAAUUAGAAGAAAUGCCAAGACUCUUAACCCUUUGGAGAGACUAUAUAUAUGAGAAUAUAAGCUUAAAAUAUUAAGGGAAAGAAGAGAGUAAUAUUUAGGAUUUCCACAGCUUAACAUUUCUGAUGGAAUUCACUGUAAAACAGUUUUUAUUCAGAUGUGUCAGUGCUGAUGCUGUUGGGAUUGUGGUAUUACAAACAACUUGAAAAUCUUGAUUAAGACCCAAAAUAUAUACAAUUCCCCCCUUUAUUUAUCACCCAUUUUUAAAUCUAGAGGGUUGAACAUGCCUUCAGUGAAAACUGGGCCACUUGUCACUAUGCACCCCAAAUGGAAAAUAAAGUGUGAAAUGAUAACUUUACAAGCACUGGCAACUAGGAGACUACUGGGAACUGCUGUAGCAUCUCUGGGAAUCUGAAAGAGAGUCCUGGGUAUUUGUUUUGAUCAAAAAGAGACAAAGUGAAACAACUCCCUGCACAGAGAAGGUGAAAAGACAAAUAGAGGGGGUUGUUUUGGUUUGGUUUGGUUUUGAUAUUAGAGCUCAGGAGUCUCUGUGGAACAACAAACACAUGCUGGCAGGUGACAUCAGCUACUGGUGAUGGUUCAGCUCUCGCUGUGCUCAGUUCUGGGGUGGCAGCAGCAGAUUUCCCUUUGAAGUGGGAGAAACAGCACACUGCCUCAGAUCACUAUUUUCAGCUGAAUGGGGAAGUGCCUACAUGACAAGGAAGAACAUCACUGGGAAGACUCCAGGGAGACACCAGAGGAUUUGCUGAGAGGAGCGAUGGAUUCAAUGUCUGCAGCCAGUCCAGCACUUAACCUCUUCAUCCACAGCAACUGAUUUGCACCAGAGGCACAAGGAGAAUUUGACACACUUGCUGCAAAGAGGUUUUCAUGCCCUGAACGUGAAACCACCAGGACUGGCUGAAGGACACUCUGUGCCCAGGGACUGGGGAGCUGAGACCUGAAAUGGAAUUUCACUAGAGAUCCUACCAACAUUAAAUACUCUGUGAAGCCUCAGGAGCUCCUGAGAUGAUGGAUGACAUCAAGAGCCAAAAGAACAUGUACAAAGCAUCUGCAGAAAGAGAUCCUUAAUGACUGUGUGAAGUCUGUUGAUUUGUUGCCAGGAAGUCUCUGGGACCAGUGGAGAACGUGGUGACAAUGUUUACAUGCAUGUCCCUUACUAAUGAUGUCCAAGGGUGGCCAGAUUACCUCUGCAGAUGAGCUCCAGGUACUACAUAUUUAACAGGUGAAUAACAAUGCCUGGUGAGCUACUGGACACACAGGACCCCUGCUCCUCCUGUGAGCAGAGAGGCUUCUUCUAUAAAGAAAGGACUUGCAGGUCAAGGCUGCAGCCAAAAGGAGUAGCAGCACAUCCUAGAGGAGCAUCCCUUCUGCUUGGAUUCAGGCAAAACAGCGAGAUAAGGAGUGCAUCUGUAAUCAAUGAUCCCAAGGCUACACAAUUACAUCAUAAUUAGAGAAAUAAUUAUUCCCAUUUAGGUAGGAAGAGGGAGGAAAGAGUGUUAGCAAGCCCACAUAUACACAAAUUUACCUUAGCCUAAGAAAUGAGUAUUUUCAAACCAAAUUUAUCUAAACUGCCUUUGUUUUUGUUGGAUGAUGCUUCUGUAUCGACUUGGCUUUAUCUUUAAUCAUUUCUGCAUUAAGUAGAGCUUCUACACAAGAAAAGCCAGUGGGACAAGCUGUGACACCAAGGUGUUUUCUUCACCUUAAUUAAGGGCUUUCAAACCUCCCCCUUGUGCAAGCCCUGCUCUUGCAUUUGCUGCAGUUGACCCUGUCUGAUCAUCUUCAGCUUGUUAGAGGUGAUAACCUGAGUAUCCAGGCACUCUGAUAGCACUAGAUCAAGAUACUAUAAAGAUCAAUAAGAAUAAGCAAUUGUAGCAACUCUGAUCCCAGUGCAGAUCAGGUCAGCAGAUGUACUCUGCUCCUAGAUGUAUAUAAUAGACACUGCUUUAGAAAGAUGAGCAUUGCCUGACACAAACAGCAGCCACACUCUGUCCCUUCACCUUCCCUGCUGAAUUAGCUUUGCCAUCAUUUCUGAAUUGCAAACAUGUUCCAGCAAUUAACAUCUUCAGUAUACAACAAAUCAAAUCUACACGAGAUGAAAAUAUUUAUAGUCACAUUAAUUGGAAAGAUCUCUGAAUUUUUAUAAGAAUGCUCUAACAGAGCUGUUUGUGUGAGGUUAUUGUUAUCCCCAGGGAAUAUUCCCCUGAUGCUCGAGGAUGUACUUAGGUAUUUAGCCACUUUUGGGUGAUGUUUAUUUUGUGCAAGUCACAGCCUCAGUUCCAGACCAUGAGCUGCACAAUGAUGUAUUUAGAUCCAUCUCUAGCAACUGCAUGAGACCUAAAAUAUUCCUUUUCUUCUUUCCUAACUGCUCAACUCUUUGUAACAUCAUCAAUCACAGAACCUUCUUUCCCCAUGCUUGCACAGGGCUAUGCAGGUGGGGACUGCAUCGUCUCUAUUGUACAAAACAAAAGAAGAUUUUCUGCAAUUUUUGAGUUUUCAUGGGAGCCAGUGGGAGUUAAACAUCCAGCUUGAAAAAUGUAUUUGAACUCAGGCAGGUCUGGCAGAUCUUCAAUUGGAUCCUGACCUACUCACAGAUAUUUUUUUCUGCCUAGUCUCACAUGCAACCAUAUUUUCUAGGUACACUUAUCUACCUGUCACAUACAACAAUGUACAGCCCUGAAGAAAACAAAGCAGGUGAUUAUCUUUCCCCAGUCAAACGCAGUGGAAAGGUCAGAUUUAAUUUGAAGCUGAGGGGCAAUGAAAUUAUAGAGAAAAUGUACAAAAAUAGAGUGUAGCCGUGCAGGGAGAGAAGCGAGUCUGCUCAUCCCUGUGGAACAGCCAGCAGCACAGACACACCAUUCAUCCCUUCUCUUUAUUGCUCCCUGGUCUUUGAUUUGGGACUUGGCUCCACUAUCAUGGAAGAUACAUUUUUGGGAAGAUGUGAAUUGGGCAGGUGAAUCAUUUCCUUCUGCAUGGCCUUCAGCCAGAGCCACUGACAUCGAGCACCCACCAGCUCCUGGAGUAUCCCCAAGGGAAUUGGAUUGUUCCAGGCUUUUAAGAUGGAAAAGAUAUUUUUCCUCAAUCCCACCCUUCCAAUGGCUGGCAAGCUGCUAUGUGUUGAAUACAAAGUCUCGCAGUUACUUAUUUUAAUCUUGGUAAUGCCCUUGAGCAUUGCUGGACUCCUACAAAAUCAGCACCUAAAUGGAAAUAAAUUCACAAUGCUGCAGCUCCCUGCAUUCAGAGCAAUUCAGUAUGUCCCAUGUCCUAAAUGCAACUGGGUGUUUCACAACCUCUGUAUCUAAAUUAGGUUUUUCCAUGCACAUUUUUUCCCUCUUAGUCCUGCCUAAAACCCAGAGCAAAUUUCAUUGAGAAAUUUUUCUUGGACCACUCACUAGGGCUUGAGCCCCAUAUCCAAAGCACUUAGACUGAGGACCAGCUGCAGAAAACAGAAGUUUCACAGUUUCAUUGUUGAAAACAAGCUCCUGCUUUUACUCUUCCUGGUAAUUUUGAGCUCAGGAUUCCAAGUGCCCUUCGGCACUCAGGUCCAUGCAGACCUGCUUGGAUGGAUGAAUGCCUUGAAGGUUGUGGGUAAGAGCUCAAACCUGGAAGUGGUUAUUCUCAAAGCUGAGAAAGGAAAAUUCCCGAAGGUCUCUAUGAUAAGUUGAUAAGAAAUAAUGGAGAAUUGUUUCAUUUAAACACAAAGAACAAUUCAGCCAUAUCAUGGCUUAUGAUAGAUUGAAAGUUAGAUAGAGACAUUGAAAGUUAUCAGAUGAACAUCUGCAUGCUUUAUCUUUUUAAUAUUGAAGAGAAAUGUAACAGUUUACUGUCCAUGAUGAAGCCUGGACUUCCUGGAAGGGUACCCUGCCUUGCUGCUUCUUCAUGUUCCCCAUGUCUGCCUCUGCCUUUCAAAUGAGUGGCACCAAGCCCAGUCUAAUGGCAAUGUUUUAAAUAACUGCUUCUUUCCUAGGAAGUCAAAUAAAGCCCACUUAAAAGUGAGCUCUGUGCAUGUGCCAAAUAUUUAGAGAGUAAAUCUCAAACCCAGGAGUGAUCUGCUUCCUUUAUCUGCAGACCCUGGAUGUGAUGCAGAUACCAACACUCCCAGCAUCUCUUGCAGGCCAGUGGUGUGAGCUCAUGAGGGGAACUAAGAAAAAUUAUAUCUAGAAUGAAAAAUAGAUGCAGAAAACCCCACCAAUAGCUAAUUCUGUCCAGUUAAAAAAUCAGUAUAACAUCUAAACUAGUCACCUAGACCUUUCCUGUUAGAAGUUUGCUUUCCUCACAGGGUCCCUUUGAGACACCCCCUCCAUCUGAAAUACAGCACCACUGACUGAAGGACUGGUUUCAAACCUCUUUAAGACCCAUAUGAAGAGUCUAAACCCCACAGCAAGUUUGGCAAUCAGCACUUUAAAAAACAAACUCAGCUCCGGAAUGAUGAUUUGCAUAGUGCAUGGUGACUAAAAUUAGCCUGCCUCAACUCCAUCUCAGGAGGAAGUCUGAGUUGCUGCUGCAGUUUCAGGUUUCUUGGCUUUCAGAAAAAUUCAUAGCAUCUGAGGAACACAGAUGUGUCUUCUGUGCAGCCCUGCUCCUCUUGGCUGGCACUUCUCUCCCAAGCUGCAUCUCAAAGCUGUCCUACAGCACCAGCAAUCCUCGUCCUUCCUCCCAUAGGAAACCAGAAUGUGCUGAAACCUGUGAAAGCCUUUAUUCAGUAUGGAGAUGCUUGGGAGAUUAAUUAGUAAAGAGAGAAGGCACUGCAGGUCACAAAUGGUCUGUCCUGGGUGUAGGAAGUGUAAAACCUCCUUGAGAGCUAUUUACCACGAGACAGAGGUUUCUCCAAGCAGAGGUGUGCUGGAAGGUGCUCUGCAGGAGACAUUCACCAUGUAAAGUUGGGUUAGGACUCACAGUUUAACCUUCCUUAGCUGCUGGAUGAAGGUGAGAUCUCCAACUUGAUUCUCAGCUAUUGCCCCAUAAUACCAGUGCAUAAGAGCUUGUGUUUCUUUGUCAUAAUUUAAUAUUGUGAUUUGGCUAACCAGAGAGUCACACACUCCCUUGGUCUCAUUUUAUACUGCAGAUGAACAGAUCCAUAGGAGGUCAUGCUAGUCUACCACAGAUGUCCCUAUUGAGCUUAAAUUAUUCAAAAAGUCAGUCAUCAGCUAAGUGCUAAACGGUUGCAGCUUUUUUGGGUUGGUUUUUUGUGGGUUUUUUUCAGCUUGAGAUGUGGCUAUAGCUUUUCUCCCCAAGAUGCAUAAAUAACUCAUGCAGUUAUGAAGCAGGAUCACUCAGGACCCGUGUGAAGAGUGCUGCUGGCUCAGAUCCCACAUCAGCUACUGAACAAAUCCAGCUCAGCUCCCUUCCUUCAUCCACCCUCCACCCCAGGUCAGGCCAUGGGCCCUCAGGCCACAUUUCACAGUUUUGGUUCCUCUAUCCCUGAAAGGUCCCAGACACCUUUGAAUCCAAGAUCACAGGUACCAGAGGCUUGUAGCUUAAUAUUUGUAGUAAAUUUGUACAAAAUUAACUUGCUGUAGCAACAAUCCAGUCAAGUACUUGUUUUUAUAUUUUAUAUGAACACAAGCCAGCAACUAAUUUCAUUUUCUGCCGUGUUGUAGAAUUGAAAGGUAAUGAUUCACCCUUAAAAAUACAUUUUAAAUUAAGUAAUGACUCUGUCUACAGUAUAUAUCUUAUGGAGGGAGCCCAGAGUAAAAGCUCAGUGAUGUGCAGAGUCCUGGCUAGAUACAAUCAGGAAGAGAGCAGCCCUGUGACAUGAAAUCCAAUGACACACUGAACUUCUGACCUGUAGGAGAAAUCUGAUCCCACCUUCUUCUUCAUUUCAGCUGUGUUCAGAAAAACAAAAGUCUUCAUUCAGCAUUCAAUUUUCUUCACCCUUCACCACUGGAAUUUUUAUAUGAGCUGAAUUAAAUAUGCCAGACUUCAAAGGAUGAAUGAAGUGAUGAACCCCCCUGGCCAUUUCAUGAGCUUCCUGCAGACCAGGAUGGCAGCAGAGCCUGGACUGGAAGGGUGUGAAGAGCUGUAACUUCCCAGGAUGAGCAGCCCCACAGGGACCAAGGUGUGAAUUCCAUCUCCCCCAGAGGUGCACAUCCACCUCUCUGCUCACAGCUUGCUGCAGUUCAGCCACAGCUUUGGCCCAGAGGUGACAUUUGGGGCUUUAUUGCAGAUGCAGGUUGCUAUGGUGAAAUAACCUUCCAGGCACCCUGGAAAGUUCAGAGAACAAUAUAAAAUGUUUGCAAAAGCCAGUCAUUGACUUGCUGUGCCCAGCUGAUUGCAGGUCGUCACCCAAAAAGCAGAAAAGCUGUUUCCUCACCCCCUUUGCAUCCAACCUUUAUUUUGUCCUGGUGUUCUCUGAUGCUCCUGGUACCUUCCUUCCUCUGGAAAUGUCCUUCCUCAUUUUCUCAUCCCACAUAUGGAAAUCUGCACAGCCCUGAGCAAGGCAGGGAUGGGUACCUUGUGUCUGGUGCUGAGUUUGCAAUGCCAAGCUGGAGGGCUGGUUCUGCACCCCCUGAACCUCUGAGCUUGGGCCUGGCUGAGCAUCCAUCCAUCCAUCCAUCCAUCCAUCCAUCCAUCCAUCCAUCCAUCCAUCCAUCCUUCCUCCCUCCCUCCCUUCCUUCCUUUUCAGGGGGAAUGAGACACAAGCAUAUCUGCAAAGGGCAGAAGAGCUUUUUUAGCUCCCAAGCACCCACACAGUGUUUAUUUGCAAGUGAGUCAACCGGACUCUAAUGGCUUGUGGAUGCUGCACAAUUCACCUCUCUUAUCUCAGGGAUUUUCAUUACCUUUAGGGCAAUUUUGACAAGGAUUAAAUUUUCCCCUCCCACACACACAUCCUGCUGUUCUCUCAUUGAACACAUGAAUUAGCAGCCAAAAAAGUCCUCAGCACCUUUUCUCCCCUGGAUUCAGCCUCCCCCAUCAGCCUUUAACAUUUCCUUGUGCAGUUACCCACCCCAAACCAGGUCUGGCCUGAAAGACUGAAACAUUUCACACCUGAUCCAUGUGCUGCUCAUCCCACAGAUCUCUCUGUGCCAUCCCAGGAGCAGAAUCCAAAUGCCCCAAGCAGCAACAGAGCUAUGUGUGGCACCUGCAUCCCUGCAACAGCAUCUGUCAAGGAACACCCAUGCAGUGGCAGAACAAGUGUAAAAUUGUCUAUCAUUCUUAUCCAGAGUAUUCCAGCUGCCUUUGCCAGUGAGCUCUCUGAUUUCCUGAUUAUUAGUCCUGUGGGGAUACAGACAGCUGCACCAUUUUCCAUCAGUCCAGUUGUUUCCACAAGGUAGAAACUGAUCCAUCCAGCCUGGAGACACAACAGGAUCCAGGGUGACCUGUGGGACAUCUCCCCAUGCUCCCACUCCCUCCUCCAAGUGUUGCCUUCAGCCACCAGGACAGCAGGACAAGUGCUCUGACCCAGGGCAGCAUCAUCAGCUCUUUUUCCUUGAACUCAAAGCUAACACCAGCCAGAUUUAAAGGAAGGCUCUGAGAUGUGAGUCUGCAGACCAGGCUUUGGGAAAGUUUAAGGAUGACACUGGGAGGAAGCUCUGCUAUCGCCACCACAAAGCUGAUGGGAGCUCCAUCCCUGCCAGCCCUGAGCCUCAGGGACACCAGGAUAUUGAUCCCAUCUCAGCCCUAUGUACCAAAAUGUGGACAAGAAAAGCGGAUGUGAUAUCUAGGAAUGUUUCCAGCAUGUUUUUUUUGUGGGGGGGGUUUUCCUCUUUUCAUUUAAGCUCCAAAUCUGAGACAGCCUAAAAGGCCUCUGGACACAGCAACACUCAGGAGAUGGCAGCACCCCCCAACAUGCCCUAAAAUCCCUGAGCAUUGGAGGUGGGCAGGGGAAGGUCUGGGGUAGAUGGAAGGAGCAUCAGCCCCCUCAGCCCUGCAGCCACUCCUGCUGCUGGCUCACAGGUUCAGAACUGCUGUUCUCAGGCAGGGAAUGAGUGCAGGGAGCCUUUAACAUCCCAGCUGCAAACUGGAACAGAACUUCCCUGAAGGCUGGAGAAGCAGCAGGAAGGGGAAUGCUGGGGAGCAGCUGCUCAGCCCUUGCAGUGCCAGGAAACCUCAUCUCCCCCAUCCUGCCUAGCUCCAUCCCAGUGCCCAGCAGGACAUUUGUCUAAUAAAGGAAAAGCUUUCCCUUUACCAGGCAUUAGGUGAAUUGGACUAGAAGUCCCAGCUCCAGAGCAGAGGCAAAUCCCAACUGGAGCACUCACAGGGGUGAGGGCAGGGGAGCAUCUCCUGAACCCCAGAGUGACCAAGUGCUUGGGUUCCUCCAUCCUUCCUCAGACAGAACAGCUUCACCUGGGAGAGCUGUUUCAUGGAACCUGAGGCUUGGCUGCUGCAGGAAGGCAGGGAGAAGGGAAUGCUCCAGCAGAAUGAGUUUUCUCUCGAGCUCCACAUUCUGUUUGGAUUGUAAGAGCACCAUCUUGUGUCACAACUUGGACUGCUCCUGGGCAGACGCUCAAGCAGAGUGUAAUAAGCACCAAUCCACACCUCUUCCCAUCAGCUCCCUUCCCACCAUCAU